AUUGAACGCUGGCGGCAGGCCUAACACAUGCAAGUCGAACGGUAACAGGAAGCAGCUUGCUGCUUUGCUGACGAGUGGCGGACGGGUGAGUAAUGUCUGGGAAACUGCCUGAUGGAGGGGGAUAACUACUGGAAACGGUAGCUAAUACCGCAUAACGUCGCAAGACCAAAGAGGGGGACCUUAGGGCCUCUUGCCAUCGGAUGUGCCCAGAUGGGAUUAGCUAGUAGGUGGGGUAACGGCUCACCUAGGCGACGAUCCCUAGCUGGUCUGAGAGGAUGACCAGCCACACGGGAACUGAGACACGGUCCAGACUCCUACGGGAGGCAGCAGUGGGGAAUAUUGCACAAUGGGCGCAAGCCUGAUGCAGCCAUGCCGCGUGUAUGAAGAAGGCCUUCGGGUUGUAAAGUACUUUCAGCGGGGAGGAAGGGAGUAAAGUUAAUACCUUUGCUCAUUGACGUUACCCGCAGAAGAAGCACCGGCUAACUCCGUG
rnacentral:rRNA from 1 species